GGUUACUGCUUGAAAGACAAACAAACUUCUGAAUGUGUGGAAUGAUAAAAAGCAAUUCAAUGACAAAUCAUCCCAGUCUGUAGAGGACUGAGGGAUUUCCCAGGGCAUGAGACUUCCAGUGCUGAAACUGGGAAAAUCCUGAGCAGACCAGGAAGAGUUGGUCACUAUGAAAAGCAGUUAGGAGAAAUUUAAAAGUGGAUCCUUCAGGUUCCAGGGAUUUCACCAAUAGCAGUGAAAGCCUACUUCUGCUAGUUUUGACUGUUCCUCAGUAUUUGUCCAGAAGCUUAAAAAGAAGCAGACUUACUUUCAGUGCCAUCUAUCACAGCUGCAGAAUUAUAUCAUGACAUGUCAAAAUAAUGACUCUGAAGCCUUCCAAAUCUUCCAAGAAAGAAAAAUUAAUGCAGAGAACUCCCAGUUGGACAAUCAGUUCCAGACUCCACAGACACCAGGACACACACUCUAUUCAAGAAUCUGUUUGUGAUGGUUCAGAAGUUUUCAAGCUUGCUUUGGGUACAAAUUGUAUUUCCAACACUUCUAGCCCUAUGUAUUCCUGUCAAUGAUAUUAUACUUAUAAAUACAAACAUGUCCUUAUUAUGGAUGAAGAAAUAGAUUAAUUAAAAUUGUAUAGAUUAUAUAUUAGCAUAUGAUAUUAUACAUCAUUAUAAAAACGAAGAAAUAGGACUUGAGCUUUUUUUCAAUUUUGCCACUGUUAAAGUCACUUGAGUCUUUGGGAACUAGCAUUCACAAAAUGGUGAAUACUGACUCUUAUCCUGAUUUGCUACAAGCAACUAGUCUAGAAUGAGCAGUGUAAUUAUUAGCACUACACUCUUUCUAUGCUUCACACACUACAGAAGUUUCCAGAAUCUUCAUCUUCAAGUCUGUAAUUCCUCAAAGUACAUGGAUCAACAUUUAGGCUUCUGGAGGCCAGAAAUGAAGGAGGCAGUGCAAAAAUGACCAUAAUUCACAGUCAACCAGCCAACAUGUGUAGCUCUGGGCAAGUGUUAUUAUAUUCACUGGAUGUUAACAGCAUUUCUAGUUAGAUUGAGAGAUGAGAAACUCUUUAAAAAGCUCAUUCUCUUUGGUAGAAUGGUUUGUUUUCCUUUGGAUAGAUACUCAGUAAUGGGAUUGCUGGGCUGAGUGGUAGUUCUGUUUUAAACUAGUUGAGAAAUCUCCAAACUGACUUCCAUAGUGGCAGAACUAAUUUACAUUCCUACCAACUAUGUGUAAGUGUUCUCUUUUCCCUGCAGCCUCGCCAGCAUCUGUUAUUUUUUGACUUUUUAAUAAUAGCCAUUUUCACUGAUGUGCAAUCUCAUGGUAUCUCAUUGUGGUUUUGCUUUGCAUUUAUCUAGUAAUUACUGAUUAUGAGCAUAUUUUUAUAUGUUUCUUGGCUGCUUGAAUGGCUUCUUUGGAGAAGUGUCUGUUCACAUCCUUUACCCACCUUUUAAUUGGGUUAUUUGUUUUUUUGCGUAUCGAUUUAAGUUCCUUAAAGAUCCUGGAAGUUACAUGCACUCAUAUGUUCGUCGCAGUGCUAUUCACAGUAACAAGGACAUGGAAUCAACUGAGGUGCCCUUCAGCAGUGGACUGGAUAAAGAAAAUGUAGUAUAUAUAUGCCAUGGAAUAUUACAUAGCCAUAAAAACGAAUGAAAUCAUAUCCUUUGCAGCAGCAUGCAUGCAGCUGGAGGUCAUAUUCCUAAUCGAAUUAAUGCAGGAACAGAAAACCAAAUACUGCAUGUUCUUACUUAUAAGUGGGAGCUAAACACUGAGUGCACAUAGACAUAAAAAUGGGAACAACAGGCACUGUAGAAGAGGGAAGGGAGGAAGGAAGUUAUGGGCUGAAAAACUAGCUAUUGCGUACUAUGCUCACUACUUGGGUGAGAAAUUCAUAUCCCGAACCUCAGCAUCAUGCAAUAUAACCAUGUAACAAAUCUGCACAUGUAACCCCUGAAUCUAAAAUAAAAGUUGAAAUUGUU